CCUGUAGAAUGGGAUACUACACUUCUGGAGAAUGGGCUGGCUACCUUUUCCCAGGAUUUCUACCCCCUCAAGAGAAGCAGAAAUGUUCCCUGUUCCAGGAACUAAGUGUUUCCCUGUCUUGAGAGCCCACACUACUUCUUCCACCCAUUAAGCUGGAUUUGAUCUCUGCUUUGCAAGAGAGGCCUUAUGGAAAAGAAGACUGCACUCAAAAUUGCUAAGCAUGGCACCCAGGUUCCAACCCUGGUUCUGCGGUUCCACCACUCCCAGCCCAGAGGAAGGGGCUUCUGGGCUGCCACUCCACUGCUCCCAGCCCAGAGGAGGUGAGCCGCAUGGGCACCAACAGCACC
rnacentral:lncRNA from 1 species